CUUCUAUGGAUCACAUCAACAAGGAUGGAGGAGGACCCGAGGUCACAUGACUGAGAGGAUAUUGGACCUCACCCUGGAGAUCAUCUACCUGCUGACCGGAGAGAGUUUUCCUCCGGUGAAGUCUGGUGACUAUAUAACCAUCACAGUGCCUUCACCUCACUCCAAGAAACCCGAGAGGAACAAUGACAAGAAGAUCCUAGAAGUUACCAAGAAGAUCAUUGAGCUGCUGACGGGAGAGGUUCCUAUAAGGUGUCGGGAUGUCUCUGUCU